rnacentral:rRNA from 1 species
CCGACGGUGAGGGGCGAAAGCUGGGGGAGCAAACCGGAUUAGAUACCCGGGUAGUCCCAGCCGUAAACGAUGUGCGUUAGGUGUAUCGGUGACCACGAGUCACCGAGGUGCCGAAGAGAAAUCGUGAAACGUACCGCCUGGGAAGUACGGUCGCAAGGCUGAAACUUAAAGGAAUUGGCGGGGGAGCACCACAACAGGUGGAACCUGCGGUUUAAUCGGACUCAACGCCGGAAAACUCACCAGAUAAGACAGCUGAAUGAUAGUCGGGCUGAAGACUCUACUUGACUAGCUGAGAGGAGGUGUAUGGCCGUCGUCAGUUCGUACUGUGAAGCAUCCUGUUAAGUCAGGCAACGAGCGAGACCCACGCCAACAGUUGCU